CACCGCCCGUCACAUCAUGGGAGUUGGUUUCACCCGAAGCCGCUGACUCAACCGCAAGGGAGAGGCGUCUAAGGUGAGGCCGAGUGACUGGGAGUG
rnacentral:rRNA from 1 species